GUUAUUGAAUAUAAAGAAAAGACGAACAGCUCAGUAACUCUUAUUUUAUUUGAUGUAUUAGGAUUAUAACUAUGUUAAAUUAUAGAUAACAAUAAUACAAUAAGAAUAAGAUCUAUCAGUUAGUUGUUAAGGUAAUGGCUUAACAAGACUAUGACGGAUAACGGUAUUACUUUGUAAUAUUCCGGAGAAGGAGCCUGAGAGAUUGCUACUAAGUCUAAGGAUUGCAGCAGGGGCGAAACUUGACCUAUGAUAUGAUAUUGAGGCAGUUAUGAGUAGUAUUUUUAAUUAUUGUAGUAUUGUAAGUAUAUACUACAAGAUAAAUCGGAGGGCAAAUCGAGUGCCAGCAGCCGCGGUAAUACUUGUUCCGAUAGUGUGUAUGAUGAUUGAUGCAGUUAAAAAGUCUGUAGUUUAUGAUUAAUAAGCAUUGUGAGGUAUAUUGUAUGGUUAGGAGAGAGAUGAAAUGUGAUAACCCUAACUGGAUGAACAGAAGCGAAAGCUAUAUACUUAAAUGUAUUAUUAGAACAAGGACGUAAGCUAGAGGAUCGAAGAUGAUUAGAUACCAUUGUAGUUCUAGCAGUAAACUAUGUUAAAUCAUAGAUACAUUUUAAUAUGUAUUUAUGUAAAGAAAUUAAGAUUAUAUUGACUCUGGGGAUAGUAUGAUCGCAAGAUUGAAAAUUAAAGAAAUUGACGGAAGAAUACCACAAGGAGUGGAUUGUGCGGCUUAAU
rnacentral:rRNA from 1 species